ACAGCAACAAAACCAGUGUUGCAGAAGAAAAGAAAUGAAAACAGAAUGAAUGAAAAGGUAGAGAAGAGAUAGAUGAUUAAAGAGUGAUUGAAGAGUAAAGAUAAUGCAAGAAGAGAUUGAUCAUUGAUCAAUGUAAAUUGAAUUACACAAUGCAUCAACUAACUUUCCUUAUAUAGCAACUACCAACCAACUAACAACUAUAAAUGGAAAGUAUCAAAAAACAGAAAACUGAAUUACAAAAAUACUUCUAAUUUUAACAUUCCCUCCUAAUUCAGUUUCUCAUCAAACUCUAGAACUCCUAUGUUCCUUCUCAUCUUCUCAAACCUCUCCUUCUUCAAAGGUUUGGUAAAAAUGUCUCCCAAUUGCACUUCACUCUUGCAAAACUCCAACCUAACUCUUCCUUUGCAAACUUGAUCUCUAAGAAAGUGAAAACGAGUCUCAAUAUGCUUGCUUCUUCCAUGAGCAACUGGAUUUUUAGCUAAGUUUAUGGCUGACUUGUUGUCAACCUUCAACAGCAAGCAUUCUCCUUCUGUUCUUAGCUUCAAUUCUGCCAUUAAAGUCACCAACCAAGCAGCUUGGCAAGUAGCCAUACAUGCUGCCACAUACUCUGCUUCACAUGAAGACAAUGCAACAAUAUCUUGUUUCUUUGAGCACCAUGAUAUAGGGGAGUCACCAAGCAAAAACAAGUAACCAGUUGUGCUCUUCCUAUCAAACUUAUCACCACACCAAUCAGCAUCACUAUAACCAAUGAUCCUCUGCUCCAGGCUUGCAGUUCUUGUAGGAAACAUUAAACCAAGGCCUAAAGUGCCCUUCACAUACCUGAGCAGCCUCUUAAUUGCAGUGAGAUCAUGCUGCUUUGGUGUCUCCAUUUGUCUGCUAACCAAGCCUACUCCAAAGGCAAUAUCAGGCCUAGUAUUGCACACAUAUCUUAGGCAACCAACCAUUUGCCUAUACAAAGUUUUGUCCACUUCUCCACCCUCAUCAUCAUUACUAGAUGAAGCAUAAGCCUGAAUAGGUGUGGACACUGAAUUGCAGCCCUGCAUAUUGAAUCUCUUAAGCACAUCAGAAGUAUAUUUCUUCUGGUGCAUAAAGAUUCCAACCUUGGUCUUGGUGAAUUCUAUCCCAAGGAAAUAAGAUAGAUCACCCAAGUCACUCAUUUCAAAUUCAGCCUUCAUGCUGUCCUUGAAUGCAGUGAUCUCUUCAAUUCUACUUCCAGUCACUAGCAAGUCAUCAACAUACAAGCAAACUAUCAACAAUUCAUUCAAAACUGACCCUUUUAUGUAUACUCCAUGUUCUGCACUGCAUUUAACAAAGCCUAGCUGCAACAAGAACCCAUCAAUUCUCCUAUUCCAUGCCCUUGGAGCCUGCUUAAGACCAUAAAGAGCCUUGUGUAAUCUGUAGACACAAUUCUCCUUGCCUGCAGUCUCAUAUCCAGGAGGUUGAUUGACAUACACUUCCUCUUCAAGAGGACCAUUUAAAAAGGCUGCUUUGACAUCCAUUUGUUGAAUUGACCAACCAUUAAAGCUUGCUACUGAGAUCACAAGCCUUAUGGUUUCCAUUCUUGCAACAGGAGCAAACACCUCAUCAUAGUCUAUGCCUUGUCUUUGAAGAAAGCCUUUUGCUACUAGUCUUGCUUUGUAUUUGGUCACUUCUCCUUUUGGAUUCAGCUUCACUUUAUAAACCCAUCUCACAUCAAUAGCCUUCUUGCCAUCUGGUAAUUCAGUAAGCUCCCAAGUGUGAUUUCUUUCUAUAGAGCUUAGUUCAUCUUGCAUAGCAUUCAACCAGUGUCCUUGUUUGACUGCUUCAUCAUAGUUUACUGGUUCCAUUUCUGCUAGGAGAGCAAUGUGCACCAGCUCACCUUCAUCAUUGAUUUCUGAGUCUGGAAAUACCUCAUAGUCACUCAAUCUUGGUGGAGGUUGCCUGACUCUGCUUGGUCUUCUUUCUGGUUGAACUUCUGUAACAAUUGAUGGCUGCUCAGAGACAUCAUUUAAAUGAAUCUGAGGUGAUUUGUGUUGAUCAGUUGUUGACUCUUCCCAGUUCCAUCCUUGUGAUUCAUCCACCCUUACAUCUCUGCUAAUCAUAAUCUUCUGAGUUAGGGGAUUGAAAAGUCUAUAUCCACCAGUUGAGUGAUAGCCUAGCAGCACCAAUCUCAAGCUUCUGUCAUCUAGCUUCUGUCUUUGCACCUUAGGGAUGUGCAUAUAAGCAAUGGAGCCAAACACCCUGAGAUGACCAACACUUGGCUUUAGACCAGACCAGGCUUCUUCAGGAGUGAUCUCACCUAGCCUCUUAGCAGGACAUCUGUUUAGAAUAUAUGUUGCUGUUGUAAUGGCUUCUCCCCAAAAUCUCUUUGGCAUCUGCUUUGUUUUUAACAUGCUUCUAGCCAUGUUCAAAAUUGUUCUGUUCUUCCUUUCUGCAGUGCCAUUGUGCUGUGGAGUAUAGGCUGCAAUUACCUCAUGAAUCAAGCCUUCUUUGCUGCAGAAGUUUCUCCAUUCAGCUGACACAUACUCACCCCCUCCAUCAGUCCUUAUGCACUUCACCUUCUGCUCACUUUGCUUUUCAACUUGUGCCUUGAACUCAAUAAAAGUGGCAAGCACAUCACUCUUAUUCUUCAAUGGAUAGACCCAAGUUUUCCUUGUGAGAUCAUCUAUAAAGGUAACAAAGUAUCUAUUACCCCCUAAUGAGUGUUCUUCAAAGGGUCCACAUACAUCUGAGUAAACCAAUUCAAGUGGUUUAGAUGAUUUAGUUGGAAUGUAACUCACAAAGGACUUCCUUGCUUGCUUNNNNNNNNNNNNNNNNNNNNNNNNNNNNNNNNNNNNNNNNNNNNNNNNNNNNNNNNNNNNNNNNNNNNNNNNNNNNNNNNNNNNNNNNNNNNNNNNNNNNUAGCAUCUUCCAAGAAUGUCCCAAGCUUCUUUUGAUGUGCUAGACUGUGCAAUUUUCUCAAAAUUCGAAUCAUCUACACACUGAUGAAUCAUUGCCAGAGCUUUGCAAUCUCUCUUCAUGCACUCUCUGUGAAGGGAUCUCUGCACUUCAGUAGCUUCAUCUUCCACUGCUUGGAAACCAUCUUGCACAACAUCAAGAACUUCUUGAUAUCCAAAAAGAACCUUCAUCUGCACUUGCCAUCUUUCAUAGUUCUUGCCAUUUAGAGUUGGUAGAACCAUUGUAAAUCCGCUAUUGCUUGCCAUUAGUGAGCUUCCUUCUUCCUUCUUACCACAGUUCCAAGAUCAAGGAAUUAUGGCUCUUGAUACCACUGUUACAGCAACAAAACCAGUGUUGCAGAAGAAAAGAAAUGAAAACAGAAUGAAUGAAAAGGUAGAGAAGAGAUAGAUGAUUAAAGAGUGAUUGAAGAGUAAAGAUAAUGCAAGAAGAGAUUGAUCAUUGAUCAAUGUAAAUUGAAUUACACAAUGCAUCAACUAACUUUCCUUAUAUAGCAACUACCAACCAACUAACAACUAUAAAUGGAAAGUAUCAAAAAACAG
rnacentral:lncRNA from 1 species